rnacentral:rRNA from 1 species
GAUGAACGCUGGCGGCGUGCCUAAUACAUGCAAGUCGAGCGAACGGACGAGAAGCUUGCUUCUCUGAUGUUAGCGGCGGACGGGUGAGUAACACGUGGAUAACCUACCUAUAAGACUGGGAUAACUUCGGGAAACCGGAGCUAAUACCGGAUAAUAUUUUGAACCGCAUGGUUCAAAAGUGAAAGACGGUCUUGCUGUCACUUAUAGAUGGAUCCGCGCUGCAUUAGCUAGUUGGUAAGGUAACGGCUUACCAAGGCAACGAUGCAUAGCCGACCUGAGAGGGUGAUCGGCCACACUGGAACUGAGACACGGUCCAGAAUCCUAAGGGAGGCAGCAGUAGGGAAUCUUCCGCAAUGGGCGAAAGCCUGACGGAGCAACGCCGCGUGAGUGAUGAAGGUCUUCGGAUCGUAAAACUCUGUUAUUAGGGAAGAACAUAUGUGUAAGUAACUGUGCACAUCUUGACGGUACCUAAUCAGAAAGCCACGGCUAACUACGUG